GCCUUUAGAGGCAAUGAUCUUUCCGAGACGAAGAAGAGGGCUUAUGUGACCUUGCCCUGGGAAUGAUACGAGCAUCACAUGAGGUAACGACGAUUCCAUCUCCAUAUUUUUUUUUUUGUUGGUAAAACUCAAAAAGAAGUUUUUGUCUUCUUUACAAUAUUUCCAAUUUAGAUACCUCGAUUUAUGGAAGGUUGGGUAGAGAGGCCUUUCCACGGCGUGCUAUUUUUUUAUACAAAUAUUGAUAAUAAAUGUAGAAAAAUAUCAUAAAAUACAGCAUAGACAUAGGGGAAAAAUGUCAAUUAAUCCCCCAACUUUCAAAAAAUGGCCAUUUUAUACAUCAACUUCGUAUGCGGCCGUUUAAAUCAUGAAUUUAACGUUGACUAAUUUUAAAAACGUGAUUAUUCGUUGACCAGGCCAAAGCAGACAUGUCGUUAUCAGUCAUUAACGGAACUUCUAACGUCCGUUAUCAUCCGUUAACAACUUUAUUAGUCAAGUUUUAAAUUGUGGCCAUUUUAAACAUCAAGUUCAUAUGUGGCCAUUUAAAACAUGAACUAAACGUUGACUACCAUUUAAAACAUGAAAAAUUCGUUGACCAAACCAAAAUAAACAUGUUGUUAUCAUUCAUUAAAAGAACUUAUAACAUUCGUAAAUUUAUAAGUUUUUAGUCAAUUAUUAAAAAGAUAAUAAUAAGACAAAACAAAAUUAUAGAUACAAUUUUAGAAAAAAAGCGUAAAAUUAAGAAAAAACAAAAACUAGAAGAGAAGUUUUUAUAAUGAUUAUAAUGAUAUUAAAGUCCUUGAGCAGAUGACCUACUUGAUUUAUUUUUCAACGAUUACCUGCUCUGGUUAUAAUGGUAUUAUAAACCACGAGAUUAGCGACUUCAUAAUCAACCAAUAUAAGAACUCUCUUAUGAUAGUAUUAAACAUAAUGUUUAACGGUUGACCAAAAACAAAAAUUAACGAGUUUAGACCAAAACAUGUGACUCUAUUAAUUUGAUUAAAUUGUGGAACAGAUCACUUAUUAUUUUUGUCGUAAACUCCAUGAGCUAUCCCACAAAAAUUAACUUUCCAACAAACUCUAAGAUUAUGCAUAUCGAGAUGAUGUCUCCACUGACUUUUGGUUUCGAAUAAAAUGUUAUUAAAAAUUAGAUAUUCGAAUUUGGAUCUUUAUCAAAUUAAUAUAAAUUUAAAAUAUGUUAAAUUCUAAAUUGAUUCUUCCGACUACUAGAAUUAUUUAGUUCAUCUAAUGAUAUCUCCACGUCUACUUUAACAAAACAAAAAAAAAAUCUCCAAUUGUUUAAUUUUUAAAUGGGAGAAAAGUGUUUAUAGAAGAAUCGUACAUGAUAGAUUGAUAGAGGUUACAUAUAGUUUUGUAGCUAGGUUUUGUGUUAAUGAAUAUGAUCGACCUAGUUGUGACAUAAAAAGCUUCAUGAGGCUUUUUGGGCGAAAUGAGAUGAUCACACUAACUCAAGGAUGUGUAGGUGGAAAACAAAAGAGUACUAGAUUGCCGUUCUCAAAUAAUCUGCGCCUCGGAGAUGGAGAUCUAGUUGACUGAGGAUGCGGACUCGUAACAUUGCCACCACCAUAACACACUUAAGGGAAGGAUUCUAAUGGAUUCCAAAAUCACCACAUGCAUGACAGUAUGACUCGAUUAGAAUUAGAUAGAAAAAUGAGAAGAUCCGUCUUCAGUUACCGGCGAGGAAUGCCGAAAACCGAAGUGGAAGAUCGGUAAUUUUUUUUUAGUGCAGAGAAAAAUUAAGAAAGAAAAGAGAAACCCAUAAAAAUAGAGAUAGUUUCUCAAAAUAUUAUUUGCAUAAUCAUCAUAUUAAGC
rnacentral:lncRNA from 1 species